rnacentral:lncRNA from 1 species
AUACAUGUAUCAUUACUCGCAAGAUACAUGUAUCCGACGGUUUGAAUUAAAGAGAUACAUAUUUUAAUAAUAUUGAAUAACCUAUUUCCUUAAAUAAAGGAGUAAUUUAGGCUUAAUUAAUAAUUCUAACUGAUUUGCAGAUUCAUUAACAUAUUAAUUCUAACAAAUCUUCCUAAAAUAACGAAAUCCUAAAACCACAAGAGUUCUCUAAUUGAAAACUUCAUCUUCUUGGCAACAGGUUUGAAAAUUGUGGACUACCAUGGGUGAUGAGAGCAAGCUUGAUCUUUUCUUAAUCUCAAAUGCUAGAAGAGACAUUCUUGAAUCUCAGAGUUAGGCUCAGUGCCUAUGAAAUUCGUUUUUGAAUUUCUGUGAUUGAAAGGAACAGGAGAGAAAAGCCUGGUGGACGAAGAUGGGAUCAUUUUUUUCAUUUCUCCAGAUUUAUCUCGAUGUGUAUCUAAGCUUUUCACUUUCUUCUUUCUUUUGUUUUUGUUUUAGCUUCUUUUUUUUGUUGGUUAGUUUAUUUCUUUUUGGAUUCUUUUGCACUUAUUUCAGAUACAUUAACUGUUCGAUUUUAUUUUUUUCUCUGUAAUAUGAGCUUUGAUUAGUAUUUGAUACAGUUUGUUUAUGUAUGGAACAUUUUUU